rnacentral:rRNA from 1 species
UCGAGAAUCUUCCACAAUGGACGAAAGUCUGAUGGAGCGACGUCGCGUGAUGGACGAAGUGCUUCGGCACGUAAACAUCUUUUAUGUGGGACGAAAUUAUUGACGGUACCACAUGAAUAAGGGGCUCCUAACUCUGUGCCAGCAGGAGCGGUAAUACAGAGGCCCCAAGCGUUAUCCGGAAUCAUUGGGCGUAAAGGGUGUCGAGGCGGUCGUAUUAGUCGUUUGUAAAAUCCGUGGGCUCAACCUACGGUCAGCAGGCGAAACGGUACGACUUGAGGUUUGGAGAGGUGCGUGGAACUCACGGUGUAGGGGUGAAAUCCGUUGAUAUCGUGGGGAACACCAAAGGCGAAGGCAGCGCACUGGCCAAAAUCUGACGCUCACACACGAAAGCUAGGGUAGCGAACGGGAUUAGAUACCCGCGUAGUCCCUGAGCGGGCUGGCAAGGCGCAU